AGUGAACGCUGGCGGUAGGCCUAACACAUGCAAGUCGAACGGCAGCACAGUAAGAGCUUGCUCUUACGGGUGGCGAGUGGCGGACGGGUGAGGAAUACAUCGGAAUCUACUUUUUCGUGGGGGAUAACGUAGGGAAACUUACGCUAAUACCUCAUACGACCUACGGGUGAAAGCAGGGGAUCUUCGGACCUUGCGCGAUUGAAUGAGACGAUGUCGGAUUAGCUAGUUGGCGGGGUAAAGGCCCACCAAGGCGACGAUCCGUAGCUGGUCUGAGAGGAUGAUCAGCCACACUGGAACUGAGACACGGUCCAGACUCCUACGGGAGGCAGCAGUGGGGAAUAUUGGACAAUGGGCGCAAGCCUGAUCCAGCCAUACCGCGUGGGUGAAGAAGGCCUUCGGGUUGUAAAGCCCUUUUGUUGGGAAAGAAAAGCAGCAGGUUAAUCCCCCGCUGUUCUGACGGUACCCAAAGAAUAAGCACCGGCUAACUUCGUG
rnacentral:rRNA from 1 species